rnacentral:rRNA from 1 species
GAUGAACGCUGGCGGCGUGCCUAAUACAUGCCAGUCGAGCGAACAGAUGAGGAGCUUGCUCCUCUGACGUUAGCGGCGGACGGGUGAGUAACACGUGGAUAACCUACCUAUAAGACUGGGAUAACUUCGGGAAACCGGAGCUAAUACCGGAUAAUAUAUUGAACCGCAUGGUUCAAUAGUGAAAGACGGUUUUGCUGUCACUUAUAGAUGGAUCCGCGCCGCAUUAGCUAGUUGGUAAGGUAACGGCUUACCAAGGCAACGAUGCGUAGCCGACCUGAGAGGUGAUCGGCCACACUGGAACUGAGACACGGUCCAGACUCCUACGGGAGGCAGCAGUAGGGAAUCUUCCGCAAUGGGCGAAAGCCUGACGGAGCAACGCCGCGUGAGUGAUGAAGGUCUUCGGAUCGUAAAACUCUGUUAUUAGGGAAGAACAAAUGUGUAAGUAACUAUGCACGUCUUGACGGUACCUAAUCAGAAAGCCACGGCUAACUACGUG